AUUGAACGCUGGCGGCAGGCCUAACACAUGCAAGUCGAACGAGUGGCGGACGGGUGAGUAAUGUCUGGGAAACUGCCUGAUGGAGGGGGAUAACUACUGGAAACGGUAGCUAAUACCGCAUACCAUCAGAUGUGCCCAGAUGGGAUUAGCUUGUUGGUGGGGUAACGGCUCACCAAGGCGACGAUCCCUAGCUGGUCUGAGAGGGUGACCGGCCACACGGGAACGUAGACACGGCCCAGACUCCUACGGGAGGCAGCAGUGGGGAAUAUCGGACAAUGGGCGCAAGCCUGAUGCGGCAAGGCGGGGUGUAUGAAGAAGGCCUUCGGGUUGUAAAGUACUUUCAGCGGGGAGGCGGUACCUGCAGAAAAAGCCCCGGCUAACUCCGUGCCAGCAGCCGCGGUAAUAC
rnacentral:rRNA from 1 species